rnacentral:rRNA from 1 species
GACCGAGGGUGCAAACGUUGUUCGGAAUUACUGGGCGUAAAGCGCGUGUAGGCGGCUAUGCAAGUCGGGCGUGAAAUCCCACGGCUCAACCGUGGAAGUGCACUCGAAACUGCGUAGCUAGAGUCCUGGAGAGGAAGGUGGAAUGCUUGGUGUAGAGGUGAAAUUCGUAGAUAUCAAGCGGAACACCGGUGGCGAAGGCGGCCUUCUGGACAGUGACUGACGCUGAGACGCGAAGGCGUGGGGAGCAAACAGG